GCUCAUUGGAGGACACAGAUUUGGGAUCAGUUACCUUCAUCAAAUUUUUAUUGUUCUUCACUGUAGCUGUUAUAUAAGGAGUUUCCUGAGUGUGUUUUGUCUGGGUUACAUAAUUCACUGCAUCACGUUAACACAAAUGUCCCGUGAAGCGUUCACUGCGCUGCACUGAGCAGAUCAGCUCUGACAGGCCCGGGCUCUUCACACAGUGUGUCAGUGUGUGUGUGUCAGGGUGUGUGUGGGGCCACACUAUAAAGCCAGGUUGAUGGUGAACGUCUGUCGAGCUGCUGCUGAUCCUGGAUCUGUGCUCACCGACCGACCGAGGAUCUGUUGACGCCCAAACGCAGCCGUGAUGGUGAUGAUGCUCAGACUGGGGAGACUGACGCCCGGUUACUUUCGUCUGCUCCAGCGUCAGAUGUCAGGUGAGGUCCAGGUUCAGUCGCAGCGAAGUUUCAUCGAUCCCAUCGCCAUGGUGAUGGCAACAGUCGGGACAGGAGUGUGUCUGUACAGCAGCAGGCAGAUGACGGAGCGGGUCCAAGUGAAGCACACACAGAUCUGAAAUGACAACGUAGGAAAUGGUCAAAAGUUAGGAGGCAGUAA